UAUGGCGACCGGCGCACGGUGAGUAACACGUAUCCAACCUGCCGAUGACUCGGGGAUAGCCUUUCGAAAGAAAGAUUAAUACCCGAUGGCAUAGUUCUUCCGCAUGGUAGAACUAUUAAAGAAUUUCGGUCAUCGAUGGGGAUGCGUUCCAUUAGGUUGUUGGCGGGUAACGGCCCACCAAGCCUUCGAUGGAUAGGGGUUCUGAGAGGAAGGUCCCCCACAUUGGAACUGAGACACGGUCCAA
rnacentral:rRNA from 1 species